GUGUGUGUGUGUGUGUGUGUGUGUGUCUGACCAAUUGCAAUGAUUUACUGUGUUGCCCUGUCUUUUUCACAGACGGAGGUAAAUUGGCCGCUGCCAGGAAAGCUCCAGCUGGAAUGAGGAGAAGAAGGAAGAUGGUUAGGCGUCACCACAAGCCAAGGCAGUCAAUCCAAUAGAGAGAAAAGACCUCUGGCUCACCGCAGGGACUGAAUGCAUCUCCAGUGCUCCUGGUAGAGUGCUGGAGGAUAAAACAAACUGUGUACCAAUAGAGAGAGAGAUCAAAUCAAUCUAGCAUUUGUUGUCGAAAACACCAGUAAAAAGGAUUGUUUACUAUUCCACAUGAACCAUACUUGUUAUGGAAUGGUAUGUUAUAGUAUUGCAUUUCCAAUAGGAAAAAUAGCAUUUAAGUACAAGGGAAAUAUGGACUUUUACCAUGAGAUAGAUGGUGUGUCAGGUGAAAUAUAUUUACCACUGAGAGAUAUUUUUUAUGUCAAUUUAAAACAGAUGGCUUGGGAAGACUGUUGUUUGCUUUUUAUAGUGCUCGAAUUUUGUACAAUUUAUGCAUUUUUAAGAAUAUACCAAAAUGAAAUCCUGUUUUUUUUAACCUCUGUAAAUUAUCACAUGCUGAUUAAAAAAUAAAUUUCAUUUGUAUACUGUU